rnacentral:misc_RNA from 1 species
AACAGAUUCACUUGUCAAAAUACAAAGUCCUACUUGUAAAUAAUUGUAAUAUUUGGGGGGUCUACUUGUCAAAAUACAUGGAUGAAAAUUUUAACAAUUAUAAUUCUUUUUAAUUAUUAAAUUUUAAAAUUUUUAAUUUAGUGGGAUCCACAUUUGGUUUUGUCACCUAAGUUUAUUGUGCCAACAAAUUUAAUGUUGUUAGGUGUUUUGUUACCUAAGUGCAAACAGCGAGAAGACACAUGCCCUCAAUUGUAUUUGAGUGCUAAAAAUGCAAAAUCACAGGGUAGCUAAGUGUAAUUUCCCCUAAAAAGAAAAUCCUGGUUAUUUGAAGGGAACUUAUACUGGGUACUAGUUUUGGGCUAAAGAUUGUCACAGGAAGGUAGUUGGGCUUUCAAAUGCUGGGCUUUUUUACGUUGGAGCCAAGCUCUAAGCUGCUUUGACAUUCAUAUGGUAUCUAGUUUGGAUUAUUACGAGUUUUCUCAGUUUGAUGCCAAGGUGCUAAUAUUUGUAAUAAUGCAAACUAACUAGCGUGCCUCAAUUAACUAGUUUGCUUAUCUGGUGGUUUAUUUGCCUGUCUUAGUUUCAGCCUGGAGCUGUUUAGAAAUUUCAUUACACAAACUUACACGAUAUUUAGCACAUGAUCUCAGCUGUGUUAUGUACUAAUCUGAAUGAUGCUGAAUAGGUAAGUACAUGUGCACCUUCUAAUUACAUGCUUGAUCCUCAUAUUUUUCUGCUGAAUCACAUGCUUUAUCUUUUGAAGUCCUUUACCUACACAUAAUGUCAUUUUACUUGUUGAUAUUGAAAAAGAAUAUCCAUUUGAAUAUUGUGUUGGAAGUAAUUACUAAUUAGUGGCUACGUGGAUUCUAUACCCAGCUUUAAAAUGAUGGCGUGCUGUUGUUUGUAAAUAACCUCCAAUUAAUUCUGUUCAAAUGAUUUAUUGCAUGCAUCCAUUUGAAUACAAUGGAAUUGGAUAAGAAAAAGAUUCAUAUUUAUAUGCAUUAUCACGUAUUGAUGCAUUUUGAACUUGUGCUUUGACUUUAACCACUUAUGUUGGUGGUACAAGAUGCAUCCGUUAAAAUUUCAGUUUAAUUUUUCUAGGUUCAAUUUUUGAUUUGGGGAGACAGGAAAUGGGAGGGAGAGGGAUAUAUAUAUAUAUA